CUGCAUGAUAUAAAUCUCUCUCCUUUUAAUUUCCAAAUUUCAAUCAUGUAGGCAACAAGCAGCCUUGCCAUGGACAUUCCCUGGAGUUUCCAUAUGAUUUUCCAUCCUGAAACAUUGAGACAGAACAGUUCUGUUUACAUUUUGGGUAUUUUGUAGUUCUCAACCUUCUUGUAUUAGCUCCUAAAUUAAGGAUGAACAAGGCUGGCAACAAGGAGCAGGUGGAAGAGGAGCAGAGGAAAACAAAGGAUCCCAAUAACCAAGCCCCCUGUCAGAUGGAUCACUGAUCUCCGAGACUGAUGCCUCUGAGACUUCACUUAAGACGCAGUACAAACCCCAAGUCUCCAAAACCUCAAAAUAGAUCCAGCCAAUUCAUAAUUUUGUUGAAAGAUGCUUUAUGUAAUCUUUGGAUUACCUAAAUACAUAUUAAUGAAGAGACGUAUGAUCAAUGAUAAAUCUUAUCGGAAAUUUCAUAAUCAGAAUAGAAAUGAUACAAAGGCAAUAAGAGGAUUCCAAGUUAUUAAAAUAUGGAAGUAAUAGCAUUAAAACAAUUAAAUGUUGAUUAUAAUUAUGUUCAGUGUAUAAAACAGUCAAUGCUUUCCUGCGAAUCUGCAAGCAGAGAAAAGUGACAAUGAAUGUAUAUUUAAGGUAGAGCCGGUUGCAGGAGAACCAUAAAUAUAAGUGGUCAGUUUAACUGAGACAGAUUUUUCAAAGUGUGGUACCAGGUUCAGAUUCCUUAAUUCAACAUGGCAAAUAUUGAUUGGGUUCUAGUUAGUAACAGUCCCCAUGGGAAGCAGGAAAUACCAAAAAUUGGGUGCUUUUUGAAAUUCUGAAAGAUGUGGCAAUCAAAAUGAGCCCAAUUAGCAUUUUACCUUCCAGAAUAAACAAUAUUUUCUUAAAUUGAUAAAUGAACAAAUGAAUGAAUAAGUAGAUAAUUAUAUAAGUUUCAAAGAACUAGAAGGGAGGUUCCUAAUAGAGGUUAAAUCAUCAGUAUUAAAAACUGAAAGAACAGGCAGUCAUUUGGCUUUCAUAAGGUUAAAUAGUUUUAGUUCAUUUAUAAAUGUCUGCAUUAGCUCUUCACAAUUAACUCUUCAUAGUAUCAAGAGUUAAUGUCUUGUCUUCCAUUUUUGUACUAAAAUAUUAAACCAGAAUGGCAAAAAUGUCUACUAAAAGAAUAAAUAAGAAUAAACAAUAAUAAUAAAGUUCAGCAUGAUUUGGUAUAUAGCUUAUGGUAAAUGAGAACGCAUUAUGACUUAUUUCUAAGAGUAGACAUACAGACAAAAUAAACAGAAUAAGUAGACAAAAAGUAACAUCACACAUACGCACAGAUUUUCAACUCUACUAAUAAUAACAUUUAGUAUUUAGAUAAGUAUAUCUCACAGUUCAUUUUCUUUCUUUUUUUUAAACAACAGAGCAUCUGUGGAAAUAAUUUAGUGAAACUUUUUUUUUUUUUUUUUUUGAGACGGAGUUUUGCUCUUGUUGCCCAGGCUGGAGUGCAAUGGCGCGAUCUUGGCUCACCGCAACCUCCGCCUCCUGGGUUCAAGCGAUUCUCCUGCCUUAGCCUCCCAAGUAGCUGGGAUUACAGGCAUGUGCCACCAUGACCAGCUAAUUUUUGUAUAUUUAGUAGAGACGGGGUUUCUCCAUGUUGGUAAGGCUGGUCUUGAACUCCCGACCUCAGGUGAUCCACCUGCCUCAGCCUCCCAAAGUGCUGGGAUUACAGGCGUAAGCCACCGUGCCUGGCCCAAUUUAGUGAAACUUUUUUACUACAAAUCAUUUUCUAUAGAUGCUUCAUAGCACUUCCUUUAAAAAGAAACUGGACACAUUAAUUUUUUUAACUAAACAUCUGAUCCUUUUCCUUGUCAUGUCAGCCCUAUUUUGAGCUCUUAAUGUCAUUUACAUUCUCAAUGUGAAAAAUGACAUCAAAAAUAAGAUAACGCUUUAUAUAGACUGACUUUGCCUGCUUUUUAAUGAAAAACAUCUACUAAACCACCAUUUCUCAUUCUGUUCUCCCAGUCUCAUCAACGUUGUAAAUUCAUGCAAGCCAAAGGAGCUUAUUCUGCCAACGUGAUCUGCAGGCUAAGCACAAGGUGACAUGAUUUAGCUAUAGAAGACAAGCCAAUGAUUUGUCUUCCCAGUGCAUUAAUAUCCCAAAAGUAUAUUGCUUGACUCUGGUAGAAUGCCAGUUCAUAGUAGAUACUGAGAGUAUAAAUUUAUUCAAUUAGGCAAGGAAUGUCUGCAGCUUCUUUCAGAUUCCACUGCAAACAUAUCAACAAACAUUGCUUUUACUAGUUUUUUAUUUGUUUGUUUGUUUUGCCACUGGUGGUUUAGGUAUAUUCCUGCCUGGAGAAUAAAGCCAAGGCUCUUGGGAGCAAGAACCAUAAAUUGGUUCUAUUUUAUUCAUAUUUUACAGCUCAAUAUGGAACAUACAUUGGGUGUAUGACUAGUGACAUCUGGAAGUUUAUUCUAACACAUAAUGUUUAAAUAUGGAAUACAUUUUUAAUUUUUUAAGUUAAGAAGAUAAAAUCAAAGAAAUAUUGUUUCAAAAGAGGUCCACAGACAUAUGGUUUAUAAAAACACCUAUUUUACAUAGCUUAAGCAUUCAUCAGAAAAGAAACAACCCAAAUAACCAAUUGAAAGCCGUUAUUUUCAAUGGCAAAACCAUUUAUUAAACCACAAUUACUUUUGCAUCAACCUAAUACUUUCGCCCAUCAAGUAACUGGCAUACUGCAUGCUGUUAAGUAUAGCCAAAAAAUAAAGAAAUUUGACAUACUCAUUAGCUUGUCAAGCUUUAAUACGACAUCAUUUUGAUUCUUUAAAUAUUUGAGAGACAGACUUCUUUCAAAAUCUGAGGACAAUGGGAGAAAAAUAAGCCAAAGGAUUCCUUAGUUGUGAAAAUGUUGGGCCCUAGUAGCAUAAAAGACAGACAGAAGACUAUAUCGAACUUAAAAACUUCCAUGUGUCAAAGAAAACAGUGAAAAAGCAACCUAUGAAAUGGAAAAGAACAUUCAAAAAUCAUCUGAUAAGAGAUUAGCAUCCAGAAUAUAUGAGAAACUUUGAGAACAUCACCAGAUAAAUGCAAAUCAAAACCACAAUGAGAUAUCACCUCACAGCCAUUAGAAUGGCCACUAUUAAACAGAAGAUAACUGUUGGCAAAGAUAUGGAGAAAUUAGAACCCCUGUGCACCAACAGUGGGAAUGUAAAACGGGGCAAACAUUGUGAAACAGUAUGGCAGUUCCACAAAAAAUUAAAAAUAGAAUUAUCAUAUGAUCCAGCAAUCCAAAUUCUGAAUUAUAUAUCUAAAAAAUUUCAAAGCAGAAUGUCAAAGAGAUAUUUGCACAUCCAUGUUCUUUGCAGCACUAUUCACAGUAGCCAAGUGGUGGAAGCAACCCAAAUGUCUACCAACAGAUGAGUGGGUCAUGAAAGUGUGGUAUAUAUGCACAAUGAAAUAUUAUACAGCCUUAAAAAGAAGAUAAUCCUGUCAUACAUGCUACAACACAGAUGAACCCUGAAUACAUUAUGCUAAGCAAAAUAAGCCAGUCACAAAAGGGCAAAUACUGUAUAACUCCACUCAUAUGAGGUAUCUAGAAUAGUCAAAAUGAUAGAAACAGAAAGCAAAAACAGUGGUUGCCAAAGGCUGUGGAAUUAGUGUUUAAUGAGUAGUUUCAGAGCUGCAAGUUAUAAAAGUUCUAGAGAUCUGUUGUAUAACAAUGUGAAUACACUUAAUAUUACUGCAUUGUACACUUAAACAUGGUUAAGAUGGUAAAUUUUUUUAAAGUUUUUACCAGUUAUUUAAAAAUAGGAAAGCAUUACUGAACAGCAUCACAAGCAUUUGUAGAGCAUGAACAUACAUACAAGGCUCUACCAAUAGCGCUGGGGACAGGGGAGCCUUUAUUCCCCACUUCUCAUAUUCCAUUCCAUGUGGAAGGACACCUAUCUAUUCAUGUAACUACCCUGACCUCCGGUGUGUCCCUUAUUGAUGUAAUUAAAUGAUUAUUUGGGCAGAGGAACCUUAACAUGUGAAACUCAGCAUGACUCUUCCUCUUCAUUGAGGUCUUCACCUAGAAAGCAAUGCUCUGUUUUGCUCUCAGCCAUGUGGAUGGAAGCUCAGCAAUGAAGGCUACCCUUGUGGGAGGCCUGGGUUUCUCUGGUGCUGCCUACACUGGGGAGCCAAAGCCUCUGUAUCUGUGGGGUUCACAACUGAAAAGCCUGCUGUGGCUGUACACCUAGGCCACAUCCCUCACUCUAGCCUGUAUAAUAGUAAUACUUUUACCUCUACCUGUUCAGCUCCUUUCUCUCAAGGGAUUCAGCACUCAAUCCCCAAGAAACAGCAAAGUCCCUAUCGUCAUAGCAUCUACAUUUUAAGGGAGAGUAAUCAUAUGGUUGGCUUCUCUAGCUGUAAACAGCUCCUGACCAGAAUCUUAUUUUGGGUGUGUGAACCUUCAGGUUCCAGAAAUAUAAUCAAUAUUUGCAUUUCUACAACAAAAUUUCCACAGCCUCUACCAAGUUCCAGACAUAUAUGACCUUCAAGAUACUGCCCUCCGAUGGAAAACUCCAACUUUCAGUUGAUACAAAAUCAUGAACAAAACUGUGACAGUCAUUACAGGUUUUUUAAAGUUAUGUUUCAUGUGAUUAAAAAUCAUAUUUUUUCCACUUUUUUAUUAUGGCUAAUAACACUAUGAUAUAUAUGAAAAAGUCUUAGUAAUUCUUUUUUUUAACAGUGCCCAAAUAUUUCACUAUCAUUCUUUUUUGAUAUCCUAAAACCAAAAUUUUGUCACGUCCUGUUAUCUGAUGCUGUCAUAUUUAGUCUUUUACUUUGGAAUUCCCAGUAUUUUCCCAACCAGCUAAUAUCCACAUAAUGUAGCUUUUGCCCAUUCACUUGCCCAUAUCCUUAGGGAUACAGGACUUUUACCAACACAUUUUAAAUUGUUUUGCACUAGGAUUUUACCUUUUUUUCUUUAUGAGGCAACACUGGCCAAUCAUUCCCUUCUAGAAUGUUGACUGCCAGUUGAAGGCUGAGUUCUAGGGACUUUUCUCAAACAGAACUUGAGCAACUAGUGUAUAGUCACAUAUGGAGUACAAUGCUAGCUAUGCAGUGAUAACCACAGGGAAUAUUUUCUAAAUUAGGACAUGGAAUGUCUUCUGAAUUGUCAAGAAAGAAAUGCUAUCUUCAAUGUACUUUUGUAAUUAAAUGUAUCCUUAUUGAUAAUCCAGGACAACAUUGACAUACAAAUUAACAUUUCAUCUCAACAUCCUAAUUUGGAGAAAACAAGAUUACAUAUCCCUGUGAAAAGAAGAGAUGGUACUGAAAUUGAGAGGGUCUACAGAGAUAUUUUCCAUUGGAACAGCACCUUUUAUUGGAAAACAAAGCAAGAACAGUAAAAACUCAUAUUUUCAUUCCUUAUUUACCCACAUGAAUAAAAAAAGAACUAGAUAACCAGGUCUUCCUUUGUACAUUCUCUUUUGCUGCAAAAAAAAACUGAACAUUCUGUGGAUCUUGAAAAUGUUAUCUGAUGAAGAGGUUAAUUCUUCCACAUAGAAAAAAAUAAUACAGAUUGUUUGCUUUUCUCACUGGAGUGAGAAAUCCUAAAUAGUUAAAGUAUAAGCAUAUCCUUCCCCUUGAGGUUAUUGAAAGGCUAAUUAAAGAUGUGCUUUUCAUGAAAGGUAUUACUGGGAGACUUCUUUUUCCAAAGGGACAUUCAAAAAAAGUUAAUAGACAAAGACCUUGGUAGAGUACCAGGAACAGUUAUUAUAUGGAUAAUGAACUAUGAAACAAAAAUCGUUUUUAGAGAAAUGUGUAGGCCGGGCACGGUGGCUCACGCCUGUAAUCCCAGCACUUUGGGAGGCCGAGGCGGGCAGAUCACAAGGUCAGGAGAUCGAGACCAUCCUGGCUAGCACGGUGAAACCCCAUCUCUACUAAAAAUACAAAAAAUUAGCCGGGCGUGGCGGCAUGUGCCUGUAGUCCCAGCUGCUGGGGAGGCUGAGGCAGGAGAAUGGUGUGAACCUGGGAGGCGGAGCUUGCAAUGAGCCAAGAUCGCGCCACUGCACUCCAGCCUGGGCAACAGAACAAGACUCCGUCUUAAAAAAAAAAUGUGUUAUGCACUGAUAGGUACAAGCAAAGCAUGUAGUACACAAGAAAGACAUACAUACAAUAUAUGUAUGACUUAUCAAAUAACUUUUGUUAAAUUAGUUUCUCCAAGAUGUGUAGCUGUAACAUUAACAUAUUUUCUUCUCAUUAUAAAUAUAUUUCAUUUUAAUUAGAUUGGUUCUUAAAUAGGUAUGAGAAUAAUAUCCCUUUCUGAUAUGGUUUGGCUGUGUCCCCACCCAAAUCUCAUCUUGAUUUGGAGCUCCCAUAAUCCCCUUGUGUCACGGGAGGGACCUGGUGGGAGGUAACUGAAUCAUGGGGGUGGGUUUUUCACAUGCUGUUCUUGUGAUAGUGAGUAAGUCUUUGAUCUGAUGGUUUUAUAAAGGGCAGUUUCCCUGCACACACUCUCUUGCUUGCUGCCACAUAAGACGUGCCUUUGCUUCUCCUUCACCUUCUGCCAUGAUUGUGAGGCCUCCCCAGCCAUGUGGACCUGAGUCCAUCAAACCUCUUUUUCUCUAUAAACUACCCAAUCUUAUGCUGUCUUUGUUAGCUCUGUGAGAAUGGACUAAUACACUUUCCUUCAUUUCUUCAGAGACAUUUUAGUUUUACUUUUGGUUAACUUCAAAUAGACUGAGCCAUGCUUUCAAUGCCAUUAGCUAGGUGAUUGAUUUAUGAAUAAGCACUUAUAUUAAAGAGCAAUUAUUUAUAUUCUCAGUAAUAUUCUGUUUUAAAAAGGGAUUUGGAGGUUUCUUAAACGGAUACUCCCCUGACGUAUUUAUCUGCUUUGUAAGUCUGUUUUAUGUACUUAUCUUCAAAUACAGGGCAUGUCUGUUUUGUGAUGACUAACCUGGUGAUGUCAGAGGCCCAACAUUUUAAUAUUUUCAACGGAUGAAAUAUGGCAUAGAAUUUAGAGAAAGUCAUAAGUCAUAGAUGGGUUUAAAAAUAAGGAAGUAUCAUUUCUCCAUAUGUGGCUAACAUUUUUCAGUUAAUCAAGUUCAAGCACAGCUGCCAUAUAACCAAAGAACAGGGGAUUACAAGGGCCUUCAAAACAUAAAGUAGCUUAGAGCUCAAGCUCAACCUUGUUUCUAGCAGCUCCUGGUGGUGUGUCCCCUUCCUGCUUCUGAGUCCUAAGCCAAACCUUGGCCAGUGAGUCAGAGCACAGCUCUGUUCCCACCUGCUCUCAUCUAGAGGCACCCUUCCUUCUACUCCUGUUCACUGUAAAGGUCAACUCCAAAAAUGAUCACAAAUU
rnacentral:lncRNA from 1 species